rnacentral:siRNA from 1 species
AUCAUGAUGUGGUUGGUGUACUAG